rnacentral:rRNA from 1 species
AGUCGCACGAGAAAGGGUAGCAAUACCUGAGUAAAGUGGCGCACGGGUGAGUAACACGUGAAUCAUCUACCUCCGAGUGGGGAAUAACCUAGAGAAAUCUGGGCUAAUACCGCAUAACACUUAUGAGUCAAAGCAGCAAUGCGCUUGGAGAGGAGUUCGCGGCCGAUUAGUUAGUUGGCGGGGUAAUGGCCCACCAAGACGAUGAUCGGUAUCCGGCCUGAGAGGGCGCACGGACACACUGGAACUGAAACACGGUCCAGACUCCUACGGGAGGCAGCAGUGGGGAAUUUUGCGCAAUGGGGGAAACCCUGACGCAGCAACGCCGCGUGGAGGAUGAAGUAUCUUGGUACGUAAACUCCUUUCGAUGGGGAAGAUAAUGACGGUACCCAUAGAAGAAGCCCCGGCUAACUUCGUGCCAGCAGCCGCGGUAAUACGAGGGGGGCAAGCGUUGUUCGGAUUUAUUGGGCGUAAAGGGUGCGUAGGCGGUUUGGCAAGUCUUGUGUGAAAUCUUCGGGCUCAACCCGAAGUCUGCACAAGAAACUGCCGGGCUUGAGUAUGGGAGAGGUGAGUGGAAUUUCCGGUGUAGCGGUGAAAUGCGUAGAUAUCGGAAGGAACACCUGUGGCGAAAGCGGCUCACUGGACCAUAACUGACGCUGAGGCACGAAAGCUAGGGGAGCAAACAGGAUUAGAUACCCUGGUAGUCCUAGCCCUAAACGAUGAUUGCUUGGUGUGGCAGGUAC